GACGAACGCUGGCGGCGUGCCUAAUACAUGCAAGUCGAACGCGGGGCGGACGGGUGAGUAACACGUGGGAACCUACCCAUCAGAGGGGGAUAACACUUGGAAACAGGUGCUAAUACCGCAUAUUGACGGAUGGACCCGCGGUGCAUUAGCUAGUAGGGUGGGUAGAGGGUCACCUAGGCGACGAUCUCUAGGUGGUCUGAGAGGAUGAUCAGCCACACUGGGACUGAGACACGGCCCAGACUCCUACGGGAGGCAGCAGUGGGGAAUAUUGCACAAUGGGCGCAAGCCUGAUGCAGCCAUGCCGCGUGUAUGAAGAAGGCCUUAGGGUUGUAAAGUACUUUCAGCGGGGAGGCGUUACCCGCAGAAGAAGCACCGGCUAACUCCGUGCCAGCAGCCGCGGUAAUUC
rnacentral:rRNA from 1 species